GGUUCGAUUCUGGCUCAGAUUGAACGCCGAUGGAUGCUUUUGGCUGAUGCAAGUCGAAUGGCGCAAUGGAUUUCGGUCUGGUGGCGAGUGGCGAAUGGUGUGAGUAAUGUAUCGUGGAACGCCUAGUAAGGGGGAUAACUACGCGAAAGGAAGCACACGUACACAGCCCUUCGGGGGAAAGCGGGGACCUUUCGGGCCUCGCACUAUUAGAGCGGCUGAUAUCGGAUUAGCUGUUGGUGGGGUAACGGCUCACCAAGGCGACGAUCCGGUAGCUGGUUUGAGAGGACGACCAGCCACACUGGGACCGAGACACGGCCCAGACUUACGAGUGCAGCAGUGGGGACUUUGGACAAUGGGGAAACCUCGAUCCAGCCAUCCCAGGUGCGAUGAAGGCUUUCGGUUGCAAAAGCACUUUUGGCAGAAAGAACGGCACGGGAUAAUACCCUUGCGCAACUGACGGUACCUGCAGAAUAAGCACUGAAGCACUCACGUGCCAGCAGCUGCGGUAAUACGUAGGGUGCAGCGCGUUAACGGAAUUACUGGGCGCAAAGCGAGGCGCAGGCGGUUCGAAAGAAAGAUGAAAUCCCAGAGCUUAAUCUUUGAACUGCAUUUUAACUACCGAGCUAGAGUGUCAGAGGGAGGUGGAAUUCCGCGUGUAGCAGUGAAUGCGUAGAUAUGCGGAGGAACACCGAUGGCGAAGGCAGCCUCCUGGGAUAACACUGACGCUCAUGCACGAAAGCGUGGAGCAAAUGAUUAGAUACCCUGGUAGUCCACGCCCUAAACGAUGUCAACUAGCUGUUGGGGCCUUUCGGGCUCCUGGUAGCGCAGCUAACGCGUGAAGUUGACCGCCUGGGAGUAUGGUCGCAAGAUUAAAACUCAAAGGAAUUGAUUUGGACUCCGCACAAGCGGUGGAUGAUGGGAUGAUCUUUAUGCAACGCGAAAACCUUACCUACCCUUUGAUAUAGUCUGGAAUCCCGAAGAGAUUUGGGAGUACCCUCGCAAGAGAACCGGAACACAGGUGCUGCAUGGCUGUCGUCAGCUCGUGUCGUGAGAUGUUGGCUAAGUCCUGCAACGAGUGCACCCUUGUCAUUAGUUGCUACGAAAGGGCACUCUAAUGAGACUGAAGGGUGACAAACCGGAGAAGGUGGGGAUGAUUGCCAAGUCCUCAUGGCCCUUAUGGGUAGGGCUUCACACGUCAUAAGCAAUGGUCGGGACAGAGGGUCGCCAACCCGCGAGGGGGAGCCAAUCCCAGAAACCCGAUCGGUCCGGAUCGGUGAAGUUCGCAACCCGGACUGCGGGAAGUCGGAAUCAUAGUAAUCGCGGGAUCAGCAUGUCGCGGUGAAUAUUGUUCCCGGGUCUUGCACAUACCGCCUGUCACACUAUGUGAGUAGUGGGUUUUACCAGAAGUAGUUAGCCUAACCGUAAGGAGAGGGCGAUUACCACGGUAGGAUUCAUGACUGGGGUGAAGUCGUAAAUACAGUAAA
rnacentral:rRNA from 1 species